CGAGGCGGGUGCUGGUGGCCCGUCCCGGACGAGGUGCGUCGUACCCGGUAUGACAAGACGGCGCGGU
rfam:Kitasatospora griseola strain MF730-N6 RKJC_4, whole genome shotgun sequence.